rnacentral:rRNA from 1 species
UACGUAGGGACCGAGCGUUGUCCGGAAUCAUUGGGCGUAAAGAGCGUGUAGGCGGCUAUUUAAGUCCUGCGUGAAAUCCUGCGGCUCAACCGCAGACGGUCGUGGGAAACUGGAUGGCUAGAGUGCGGGAGAGGAGAGUGGAAUUCCCGGUGUAGCGGUGAAAUGCGCAGAUAUCGGGAGGAACACCGGUGGCGAAGGCGGUUCUCUGGGCCUUACCUGACGCUGAGGAGCGAAAGCGUGGGGAGCGAACAGG